AGAUGGAUGACCUAGUGGGUAAGGCUCUGGGCUGGGACUCAGAAGAUGUGAGUUCAAUUUUCAUUUCAGCUC
rnacentral:tRNA from 1 species